rnacentral:rRNA from 1 species
UACGUAGGGACCAAGCAUUGUCCGGAAUCAUUGGGCGUAAAGAGCGUGUAGGCGGCUUGUUAAGUCUUGCGUGAAAUCUCGGGGCUCAACCCCGAGCGGUCGUGAGAAACUGGCAGGCUAGAGUGCGGGAGAGGAGAGUGGAAUUCCUGGUGUAGCGGUGAAAUGCGCAGAUAUCAGGAAGAACACCCGUGGCGAAGGCGGCUCUCUGGAACGCAACUGACGCUGAGACGCGAAAGCGUGGGGAGCAAACAGG